rnacentral:lncRNA from 1 species
UUUUACUAGAAGAGAGCUUUUUCUUUUACUCAUCUCUUUUGUUUUAAUCUCAUCGUUGGUGCCAUAGCUUCUUAAUUUUUUUUUGGAUGUAAUACAAAAGUCUUUGGGUAUAAUAUCAUAUGAAGGGAUACUACUAUAUCUUGGUGCAUUGGUGGGACUACAACAUAUAUUGAUGCAUGGGCUGAGAAACAAAUAAUUCAUAAGAGGGUGUCCUCCAUGGAUACAAUCAUAAUCUUCACCCAUGGUUCCAGAGGAGCUAGUAAGAAGGAGAAGUAAUGUUCACCUGCACAAGGCGUUAGCUCUCCACUAGUGAUCCUUUGUUGGUCUCCUAAGCAUACUCAACCCAGAAGAUUCCAAAGGACUCAGGAACAGCCACAGCAAAAAGAGAUGAUGCAAAAUAAAGACAAAGACCAGUGACCCAAUUACAGGCCCAUAAAAUCCAAGAUACUUGACAUUCACCUGUAAACUCCUCUCAGUGAGGUAAGCCAGGGUACCUUAGGAAGAAUGGCUAAGGCAUCAAAAUGUAGCUACCUUGACCCUUUCCAUCCUGUGUUGGUGACUACUACAUGUUGGACUGCCUCCAAGAGUGUUCAUCACAGUGUGGGGCCAGUUUCCCAGAUGGUCCAGUAGACUAAUGCAUCCCAGAUCUCAAUUCCCACACUUCAUUUAUUGCCAUCUCAUUAAUGCACCACAAUGUAGCAAUCUCUCAUUGUGAGGUGUCAAGCAGAGCUCUUUGUCUCAUGGCCAAGAAAAUUAAGGAGCAUGGAUGCAAACAGGUUGAAGCAAAAGUUUUAUAAGUGAAAGUAAAAAGCUCUUUACAGUGGAGGUGGGGUGUAAGUUGUUUGCCUACUAUAAGGCUGGGCUUCAGGGUUGAUAAAGACAGAAAAUGAAAGAAAUGUGCUUAGUGGUCUUGGAGAAACAUUACUCAGCUUGGCCCUGCACUUUGGCUGGGGAUUCAUCAGGAGGUUAAGUAAUGAUUUAUAGAUACAACUUAGCUUGGCCUUCAUCCUUUGCCCUGGACCAAGCAGCAGCUAAAGUGAAAGCUUGGUCUGAUACCUUGGCCUGGGACCAAUAACAUGCUGAAGUGUUGUUUCAUGACCAAGAUAAUUAAUGAAACUACACAUAAAGUUCAGAUAAGACAGAAGUUUAAUAAUCAAAAGAAGAAAGCUGUUCACAUUAAAGAAGGGACCCAUGAGACUUUCCAACUAUAAUGCUGGGUCUGAGGUUUUUGUGAACUGGAAAGAAAGAAAUAUUCUGAGUUGCAUGUGGGCUAUCUUGAAGAAAGCAGUAAUCAGCUUGGUUCAGGACCUGACCUGGGACAAAUCAGAGGAUGAAAUAAAAGCUUUGUUUGGGGCAUUGCAUCAGGAAAACACAGAAGCUGAAGGGAUGAUUCAGAAACACUUGGCUCACAGGUCAAAACAUAUUCAAAGUAGAAAAGUGUCCCAGCAGAGCCCACUAGAGCCUACUAGGUAUCAUGCCCACAAAGACAGAAUUGUCUAUUUUUUUGAAGCCUGCUGAUUAUAUGAAUGACAAAGGUAUCUCUACAUGUGGCCUUCCUCCCCUAUCUGUGCAGCUGUGCAUAUGUUUUAGGCAAAAACGCAAAGGCAUUUUCAUGUUCUUUCCUGUUUUCUGAUUAUUGCAGCUGUGAACAUGUCUUUUGCUACUCUCCUCUUCUAGUUCUCUUACAGUUGCCUGCAACUUAACUUUUCAGUCUGUUUCUGUGCUUAAAAGAGUUUUACCAAGAACCCUUCCUAGUUUCCUGUUUUUUCUCUCCCACAUCAUGAAGGUAAAUUUAAUGUGUUUUGUGCAUAAAACAAAGCUGUGUGAAGAAAUAUUCUGUGGAGCUUUCCGCUUGUGUCAUGUCAUCACUCAAGUUUCACAUUGGAGUACAUUUAAUGUUUUUAUGUUAGCAAUGUUCAACCUGCACUUUCUUCUUUUAAAAUAAACGACUUUGAAAAAGAGAAUAAAUUGUUUUAAUUCUUAGAUCAUUUGGUAGAAUUUGACAGUGGA